CCUCUCCACGAUACUCCUCAACGGACGACGGCGCUGUGGACCUGAAGCGUCUCUUCCCUUCUCAUUCUUUCAAGAGCAGCCUUUUGCAGAUUGGUCUAUUAAGCAGACAUAGUAUAUCUAUUAACAUUGGGUGGAAAUAUUCUGAUCAUCUUCGUUGUAUUUUUGUUUAAUGGAUUUUUUGUUCAUGUUUAUUUUUCCUUCUUAUUUCGUAGUCUAAUCUUGAUUCCGUAUUUUUUGGUUUGUAGGAAGGAAAUUCGUGACUCAACAAGCUCCAUGACAUCAGUCCCAAAACCCCUCAAGUUUCUCCGUCCUCAUUAUGGAACUCUCAAGGAAUUUCAUGUAACAAUGUCGGAGUCUGAUCUCAAAAAAAUGUUGGCUGAUAUACUUUCUGUCUCCUGAAGGUGAAAGGGUUAACUGGAUCAGAGGGUGACAUUGGAUCGUGGGGCCAUGAGUAUGUCAGGAAUUUGGCCGGAGAGAUUGCAGAAGAGUAUACCAUGCAUCAGGUUAGAAAACAAUUUGGUCUUUGAAACAUGUUGUAAGG